AAUAAAUGAAAAAAAUAAAAAGAGAUUAAAUGUUAUAUCAUUAAAUUUAAAAGAUUUGGCGGUAUUUAAAAUUUAGAGGAAUCUGUAUGGUAAUUGAUAAUCCACGAUAAGAUAUACUUAAUAUAAAAUUUAUGUAUUGCUGUUUUUAGUAUCUAAUUAAGUUAGAUUAGAUAUAAUUUAUAAUUUAAAUUAUGUAAAGUAAUUCAAGUCAAAAUAUAGUUUUAUUAAGAUUAGUAUGGAUUACAAUUAAUUAAAUUAUUUGGAGUAAAAAAUUUAAUUUUUUUAUGAAAUUGGAUUUAAAAGUAAAUUUAAUAAAUAUAUUAAAUUGAAUAAUAAAUUAAAUAUGU
rnacentral:rRNA from 1 species